rnacentral:lncRNA from 1 species
CCAAAAAUCAGCCCCCGAAGGUCGGGGUCCCAAGACCCCCCAGCGGAAAAAUGGCCAAAAAACGGGUGGGCUAUAGCCUUGGCGGGGGGCGUGGGCGAAGUUCGUCCACGGGACUCGGAAUGGCACCAUACUUGGCGGGCGUCCUCCGUGUGCCAAAUAUAGGCCACGGGCACAGCCGCGCCCAAAAAUCAGCCCCCGAAGGUCGGGGUCCCAAGACCCCCCAGCGGAAAAAUGGCCAAAAAACGGGUGGGCUAUAGCCUUGGUGGGCGGCGUGGGCGAAGUUCGUCCGCGGGACUCGGAAUGGCACCAGACUUGGCGGGCGGCCUCCGUGUGCCAAAAAUAGGCCACGGGCACAGCCUCGUCCAAAAAUCAGCCCCCGAAGGUCGGGGUCCCAAGACCCCCCAGCGGAAAAAUGGCCAAAAAACGGGUGGGCUAUAGCCUUGGCGGGGGGCGUGGGCGAAGUUCGUCCGCGGGACUCGGAAUGGCACCAGAAUUGGCGGGCGGCCUCCGUGUGCCAAAAAUAGGCCACGGGCACAGCCGCACCAAAAAAUCUGCCCGCGAAGGUCGGGGUCCCAAGACCCCCCAGCGGAAAAAUGGCCAAAAAACGGGUGGGCUAUAGCCUAUGUGGGGGGCAUGGGUGAAGUUCGUCCGCCGGACUCGGAAUGGCCCCAGACUUGGCGGGCGGCCUCCGUGUGCCAAAAAUAGGCCACGGGCACAGCCACGCCCAAAAAUCAGCCCCCGAAGGUCGGGGUCCCAAGAUCCCCCAGCGGAAAAAUGGCCAAAAAAAGGGUGGGCUAUAGCCUUGGUGGGCGGCGUGGGCGAAGUUCGUCCGCGGGACUCGGAAUGGCCCUAGGCUUGGCGGGCGGCCUCCGUGUGCCAAAAAUAGGCCACUGGCACAGCCGCGCCCAAAAAUCAGCCCCCGAAGGUCGGGGUCCCAAGACCCCCCAGCGGAAAAAUGGCCAAAAAACGGGUGGGCUAUAGCCUUGGUGGGCGGCGUGGGCGAAGUUCGUCCGCCGGACUCGGAAUGGCCCCAGACUUGGCGGGCGGCCUCCGUGUGCCAAAAAUAGGCCACGGGGACAGCCGCGCCCAAAAAUCAGCCCCCGAAGGUCGGGGUCCCAAGACCCCCCAGCGGAAAAAUGGCCAAAAAACGGGUGGGCUAUAGCCUUGGUGGGCGGCGUGGGAGAAGUUC